CCAGGAAUGAGCAAUUUACGUGCAUUCAGUUUUUGUGGAGGUGACCAUUUUCCUUUGAAAACGGCCCAGUCUAUUUAUUUUAGCACUUGGUUUGGGGACGGGUAUUAAAUUCCGUUGCUGGCAUCGCGCCAAGACAGUAGGCCAGCAGAGGCCGCUGGGCUGAAGCCUGCAGGGGUGCCUCCUCUGCCGGAUCUGGCCAAGCCUCCUGCCAGUCGAGGCCCUUUACCUUCCAGUCACACCAAGAACUAAAACAGGAUCAGCCAAAGCUUUUGAAGAAACCCAAACUGGACAGACAGUUACUGAAUUUUUGUAAUGUCCGAGGCUUCCAGGAGGAGUGACACAUAUCUCUGCUGGAUGAGCUCACAGUUCCAAUGAGAAGAUACAAGCUGAAAGAUUGCAGCAGAACUGGGAAGUGAAAGCACGGAGAGGCUGUGGGACAUGGAGGAGGGGCGGUAAGAUUGAGAAAGAGGUAACAGUUGGGGUGACUUUGGACCUGAGACCUGGGCAGGCAUAAGAAGUCUCACUCUCUAUUCCAUUCUUGGCAGGGGAUGUUUCUUUGUACCAGGUAGCUUUGCGCUUGUUUUGUUCCAUAAAAGUAAAUCUCUGUUCACUAAGGAAUUAUGGUAGUGAAUGGUGACUCUCCGGAAUUAUAGGGCUAAUUCCAAAAUAAUCUUAGUUUUAUUCCCCCACAUUGUAAUAUUAACACUUGGGAAUUUUGUUUAUCGCGAUGUUUAAUAAUUUGGCCAGCAGAGGGCACUGCAUACUGACAGUCUCUCCACACCAGUCGCUCAAAUCCUCAAGAGUUCCCGAAGUGUUAGGCUUAACUCAGGGGUGUUUGCAAGUGCUUUGCUCUUCUGUUUCAGACAUAAACAUAUGUCAGAAAUUAAAAGAGGGUUGUGAAGCAGGAAAUUAGAUUAACAGUAGCAUAUAAUUUCCCUCUAUUUGUUAAUAAAGAGAAAAAAUAUUGGUAUGUACACCCAUGUCUACAGGGUUUUAAAUGUAGCUGUAUUAAUUAAUGUAUUAAUAAUAUGAUAACACUACUUCUUGCAUAAAUCAACAUAACUUCUAAAUUCUCUUUGAAAAUAUUUUUGGUUUUAUAUUGUGGUUUAAUUCUCAAUCAUAAACUAAAAAGUAAAAAAACCUGAUGCCUAAUGUUAUACUUUCUUUCAAACCUUAAGAUAGAUAUUAUUGUUUGAAUAGUAUCAAAAUAUUGUGGUUCUGCAC
rnacentral:lncRNA from 1 species